rnacentral:rRNA from 1 species
UACGUAGGGGGCUAGCGUUGUCCGGAAUCAUUGGGCGUAAAGAGCGUGUAGGCGGCUCGGUAAGUCCGCUGUGAAAGUCGGGGGCUCAACCCUCGAAUGCCGGUGGAUACUGUCGAGCUAGAGUGCGGAAGAGGCGAGUGGAAUUCCUGGUGUAGCGGUGAAAUGCGCAGAUAUCAGGAGGAACACCCGUAGCGAAGGCGGCACUCUGGGCCGAUUCUAACACUGAGGAGCGAAAGCGUGGGGAGCGAACAGG